GCGUCGAGCGGCGGACGGGUGAGUAAUGCCUAGGAAAUUGCCCUGAUGUGGGGGAUAACCAUUGGAAACGAUGGCUAAUACCGCAUAAYGCCUACGGGCCAAAGAGGGGGACCUUCGGGCCUCUCGCGUCAGGAUAUGCCUAGGUGGGAUUAGCUAGUUGGUGAGGUAAGGGCUCACCAAGGCGACGAUCCCUAGCUGGUCUGAGAGGAUGAUCAGCCACACUGGAACUGAGACACGGUCCAGACUCCUACGGGAGGCAGCAGUGGGGAAUAUUGCACAAUGGGCGCAAGCCUGAUGCAGCCAUGCCGCGUGUGUGAAGAAGGCCUUCGGGUUGUAAAGCACUUUCAGUCGUGAGGAAGGUAGUGUAGUUAAUAGCUGCAUUAUUUGACGUUAGCGACAGAAGAAGCACCGGCUAACUCCGUGCCAGCAGCCGCGGUAAUACGGAGGGUGCGAGCGUUAAUCGGAAUUACUGGGCGUAAAGCGCAUGCAGGUGGUUUGUUAAGUCAGAUGUGAAAGCCCGGGGCUCAACCUCGGAAUUGCAUUUGAAACUGGCAGACUAGAGUACUGUAGAGGGGGGUAGAAUUUCAGGUGUAGCGGUGAAAUGCGUAGAGAUCUGAAGGAAUACCGGUGGCGAAGGCGGCCCCCUGGACAGAUACUGACACUCAGAUGCGAAAGCGUGGGGAGCAAACAGGAUUAGAUACCCUGGUAGUCCACGCCGUAAACGAUGUCUACUUGGAGGUUGUGGCCUUGAGCCGUGGCUUUCGGAGCUAACGCGUUAAGUAGACCGCCUGGGGAGUACGGUCGCAAGAUUAAAACUCAAAUGAAUUGACGGGGGCCCGCACAAGCGGUGGAGCAUGUGGUUUAAUUCGAUGCAACGCGAAGAACCUUACCUACUCUUGACAUCCAGAGAACUUUCCAGAGAUGGAUUGGUGCCUUCGGGAACUCUGAGACAGGUGCUGCAUGGCUGUCGUCAGCUCGUGUUGUGAAAUGUUGGGUUAAGUCCCGCAACGAGCGCAACCCUUA
rnacentral:rRNA from 1 species